CCCUAGUAACGGCGAGUGAAGCGGCAACAGCUCAAAUUUGAAAUCUGGCCUCGGCCCGAGUUGUAAUUUGCAGAGGAUGCUUCUGGCGCGGUGCCUUCCGAGUUCCCUGGAACGGGACGCCACAGAGGGUGAGAGCCCCGUAUGGUCGGACACCAAGCCUGUGUGAAGCUCCUUCGACGAGUCGAGUAGUUUGGGAAUGCUGCUCUAAAUGGGAGGUAAAUCUCUUCUAAAGCUAAAUACCGGCCAGAGACCGAUAGCGCACAAGUAGAGUGAUCGAAAGAUGAAAAGCACCUUGAAAAGGGGGUUAAAUAGUACGUGAAAUUGUUGAAAGGGAAGCACUUGUGACCAGACUUGGGCCGGGCGGCUCAUCAGGGGUUCUCCCCUGUGCACUCCGCCCGGCACAGGCCAGCAUCGGUUCUCGUGGGGGGAUAAGACCGUCAGGAACGUAGCACCCUCCGGGGUGUGUUAUAGCCUGGCGGACGAUACCCCCGUGGGGACCGAGGUUCGCGCUCCGCAAGGAUGCUGGCGUAAUGGUCACCAGUGACCCGUCUUGAAACACGGACCAAGGAGUCGUCCAUUAGAGCGAGCGUUUGGGUGUAAAACCCGCACGCGUAAUGAAAGUGAACGCAGGUGAGAGCUUCGGCGCAUCAUCGACCGAUCCUGAUGUUCUCGGAAGGAUUUGAGUAAGAGUUUUAACGGACGGACCCGAAAGACAGUGAACUAUGCUUGUAUAGGGUGAAGCCAGAGGAAACUCUGGUGGAGGCUCGCAGCGGUUCUGACGUGCAAAUCGAUCGUCAAAUAUGAGCAUGGGG
rnacentral:rRNA from 1 species